GGAGGUGUGGCCGAGUGGUUUAAGNNAAGGCAACGGUCUUGAAAACCGUCGACUGUAACAGGUCCAUGAGUUCGAAUCCCAUCGCCUCCGCCA
rnacentral:tRNA from 1 species